AUUGAACGCUGGCGGCAUGCCUUACACAUGCAAGUCGAACGGCAGCACGGGGGCAACCCUGGUGGCGAGUGGCGAACGGGUGAGUAACAUAUCGGAACAUACCCUAGAGUGGGGAUAACGUAGCGAAAGUUACGCUAAUACCGCAUACGAUCUAAGGAUGAAAGUGGGGGAUCUUCGGACCUCAUGCUCAUGGAGUGGCCGAUAUCUGAUUAGCUAGUUGGUGAGGUAAAGGCUCACCAAGGCGACGAUCAGUAGCUGGUUUGAGAGAACGACCAGCCACACUGGAACUGAGACACGGUCCAGACUCCUACGGGAGGCAGCAGUGGGGAAUUUUGGACAAUGGGGGCAACCCUGGAUCCAGCAAUGCCGCGUGAGUGAAGAAGGCCUUCGGUUGUAAGC
rnacentral:rRNA from 1 species